rnacentral:rRNA from 1 species
UACGAGGGGUGCAAGCGUUAUUCGGAAUUACUGGGCGUAAAGGGUGUGUAGACGGCGUUUUAAGUCUAUUGUUUAAGACCUCAGCCCAACUGGGGAAAGGCAAUAGAGACUGGAAUGCUAGAGGGUGGAAGAGAGAAGUGGAAUUAUCGGAGUAGCGGUCAAAUGCGUAGAUCUCGAUAGGAACACCAAUGGCGAAAGCAGCUUCUUGGUCCAUACCUGACGUUGAAACACGAAAGCGUGGGUAGCAAAC